rnacentral:lncRNA from 1 species
CCGCAUGUUUUUGACUGGUCGUGUCCUUCUUCUUCCAAAUCGAGCCGCGGCAGGUGAGCUCCAGCAAAUCCCUAACCCUAAUGGCUUGCGAAUGGCGACGGCGGCAUAGAUCCUGUACCUAGCUGGGCUAGUUUGUCUGCUGGAGGAAGGUUUCCAUCUCUGCCCCAAGCUGUACCUAGUUGUGCGACCUUGGCUACAGGAGGAAUCCUGGUCGUCUCGCCGCCGGCGGUCGGACUGCCCGGGCGGACCUCUCCUGUUCGGCGCCGCGACGUUGGCUGAUCGAAUCUCCAGGUACCAUUCCCCAACGCCAAUUUACCAUUUGUCUUACCCCCAGUAAAAUCAACAAGAUCUGGAGGUGGUAUAUUCCACGGCUGAUAUUGCUCUAACGCUAUAGAUUUGUAGGCAUUAUUGCCAUUGCAACAAACUAAACUCCAUGUGUGUUUUUUCCAGUAGCUCAACUCCACAAGGCUCCCCCUCCCCCUGUGUGCCUAGCUUCGACAUCUACUGACGGCAGAGAAGAAAUCUUGAGUCUUCACGAAAGCAGGUUUGCCAUGCUCUGAAUUACUUCUGUCAACUUAGAUGAAAUUAGGAAAGUAGUGCAUCGUUAUGAUUGAUGCUUGAUGAUGCAUCCAUGUUCCUUUCUAGGCAAUCAUUUAGUCUUUUAUGUAGUGUAAAACAUGUAGGAAUUGCUUAAAAACGUGAGAUGUACAACGAGCCAGGUAGCUGAAGAUCAUUGCUUAAAAACAAGAGCACCGCACCACUGCACCAGUAAACCAACAAUGUGAACUCAUGGCACUGAUCUGCAUUUUCUCAGUCAGACUAUUUUUCAUAGAAUUCAAAUCAUACAUCUGGACUUGCCCAACCCUACAAAAGUACUUUCAAAAGCUAGAGGAAAACUCUUUACGUACAAUCAGCCAGAUUACCCUUUUUCUUGUUCCAUCAUAUAAGAUCUUCGAGUAAUUUGGUAUUGUGAAACCUUGUUAACUUGCUGGAACUGUACAUGAGAACGAACUAGUCUCAUCUACCUGUUAAAGUACUUGAAAGUGAAGUGCUUGUCAGCACAAGACUAAAAUUCUGUACACACUUGCAAUAUGUACCAUUCACUGGUUUUUGAGAGUUAACUAUCUAUUUGUCCAGUGAUGGCAAUGAAACCAAAAAUCAUGCUAGUUUUCUUGUUGUGAAACAAUUGUGUUCGCUCAUUGAUCUUCCUCAUUUAGUUGUAAUAACACAUUGAUUGUAAAAGAAAGCUGCAACUUUUUUUUACCUUCUUGCAUGUAAAAACAAGUCUCCUUGUGUGAAUCUCUUUAAUGUGCAACCUUAACUUUGCAAUCUUGCAAUUGGGCUGAUUUCUCAUUUUGUUGUAUUCAAGGUGAGUGAACAAUCAACUAUUUGGAUUUUGGCGUAGAACACAUUUUCUGGUUUGGUAUGAUGGAUAGAGGGAAGUAGUGCUCGUCGACUACUAAGCUGGCCCCUAGUGUUCUUUCGGUGCAUCUCGACCUGAAAUGGAGGGAAGUAGUGCGACGUCACCUUUAGAAGAGCCAACAUUUCCAAUAAUUGCAAAUUGUGUGCCAACUCUAUCAGGUGAGAACACAUGGUCCAAAAGGCAAAUAAUAUGUUGACACUAACUAAUAUUCUGUUAAUCCCUUCUUUGAUGUUGUUUGCCGAAAAAAUAUUUGCAGCUGUGGAAUCGGUCAACAGUGCCGAAAAUCAAGUUUUCAGCGAUGCUACCUCAUUUGGGGAGAUUAAUUCUCCAAUGCUUCUCAUUGAUGAUUCCAGUACACCAAAGAAGAAACAAUCCUUCUCUCAAGAGGUAUGAACGUUUGUCACAUCUUACAAUACUUGUAAAAUGGCCUUGAGUAUGGCAAAUAGUACUUUAAGUUUAUCUGUUUCAAAAUGUAUGACUUAUUGCAAUACAAAAUUCGAUUUCUUAAGUGAAUAUAGCAUCUACUUUGUACAAGUCAAUGUAAUAUCAUCGAGGUCAUUGAUACUAAACAUGCAAUUUAUGUUGUAGGGUUCUUUGUAUAAACCCCAAUGUCACGAGGAAUUGAAGCCUAAAGUAGGGAUGCUAUUUGAUGAUAUUGGCUCGGUCCUGGAGUUUUAUAGGACAUAUGCACACAAUGUUGGAUUUGGUGUACGUCUUGGUCAGCAAAAGGUCACAAAUAAUGUGCUUCAAUGGAAGUGCUUCUUGUGUGCAAAAGAAGGCUUUCGGCCUGAGAAAGGUAUGGUUGUUGUUGACCCUUCAAAGAAAAGGAGAAAUGUGAAAUUGACUAGAUGUGGUUGUGAAGCUUUUAUCUAUGUCACCCGGGAAAGUGAUGGCAAAUAUAAGGUAGCUUCACUCAAUGAAUAUCACAAUCACCCUUUUGUGCCACCUAGCCAGCAACACUUGAUUACAUCUAAUCGACAAGUUAGUGAGAGAGUGAAGUCAACACUCCACGAUUGCCAGAAAGCUAGUAUCGGUACCGCCUUAGCAUAUAGGUUUCUGCAUGUUGGUGCAGGGGGUUUUGACCAUGUUGGCUGCACACAAAAGGACCUACAAAAUCACUAUGGUGUAUUGAAGAAUAAAAUAAAAAUUGUGAUGCUCAAAUGGUAGUGGACCAACUUGGUAGAUUGAAGGCUCUCAAUCCUGCUUUUUUCUUUGAGUAUGAAGUUGACGAGGUUGGUACAUUGCUCCGUUUGUUCUGGACAGAUGCGACAAGUAGGAAAAAUUAUGGUCAUUUCAAUGAUGUGCUCUCUUUUGAUUCAACAUACAGCACUAACCAAUAUGAAUACACCUUUGCACCCUUCACUGGAGUAAACCAUCAUAUGCAAAGUGUCUUUUUUGGGGCGGGGUUUCUACUUCAUGAGACAAAAGAAUCUUAUGUUUGUUUGUUCAAGGCAUUUCUUAAAGCAAUCGGUGGGAUUGCUCCUACAGUGAUCAUAACUGAUGAGUGUAUUAGGAUGAGGAACGCUAUUGCAGAAAUUCUACCGAACAGCAAACAUCGAUUGUGUAUGUGGCACAUUAUGGAAAAGGUUCCUGGGAAGGUCCGUCCUGAAUUGAGAAAUGACCUUGGUUUCUAUGAUAGGUUGAAACAUUGUGUCUGGAAUUCUGAAACACCUACUGAAUUUGAGGAUAGAUGGAAGUCUUUUAUACAGAGUUUAAGUUGGAGGACCAUGAGUGGUUCGCCAAAAGGUUUCAGCUUCGUGCGACAUGGAUACCAGCAUAUUUCAUGGAUAUUCCCUUAGCUGGUCUUCUUAGGACAACUUCAAUUUCAGAGAGUGCAAAUUCGUUCUUUAAGCGUUUCAUAUGUCGGAAGCUCACUUUUGUUGAGUUUUGGCUAAGGUUUGACACUGCGUUGAAAUGUCAGAGGCAGAAUGAGUUGAUUGCCGAUAACACAAGCGAGUACACAACAAGUGAAUUGUUGACAUCAUGGGAGAUAGAGAAACAAGGCAGGGAGGUAUUCACACAUGAGAUUUUUGAAUUGUUUCAGGCUCAGGUGCUUGCUGCAAGGGAUGAUUGUGAUGUUCAAAACACAACAAAUGGUGAGGGUAUUAAAGUAAUGUCUGUUAGCGACCAAUACAACAAGAUUAGAGAAGUGUGUUAUGAUACAACAACCAUGGUUGCUAAGUGUUCUUGCAAGCUUUUCGAGUCCAAAGGAAUUGUGUGCCGCCACAUUAUCCGAGUACUGAGGGGUGCAAAAAUAAAUGAAUUACCUAGCCUUUAUGUUCUCAAGCGGUGGGAGAAAAAUUGCAAAAGGUAUAUUUCUUGCAAUUUAGAUUUAGAAGAGUUAAUGCCUAUUUGCCUUGACAUAUGUUCUUGCAAUUUAGAUUUAGAAGAGUUAAUGCUUAUUUGCCUUGACAUAUGCCAUGAUGUGAUUUUUUUCCUAGGGACAUUAUGUUUGAUGGGGAAGGAAACAUACUUGAAGGGAAUUUCAUUGACCCAGUUGACAUGGCUUUGAGAAGAAAGAUAUCUGCUGUCAGGAAUAAGCUAGAAGAUCUCAUACGGACUGCUAAGUGCUCCAUGGAAGGAGUUGAAUUUCUCCACACCAGCUUGUGCAAGGCUGAGUUGGGUUUGAGGCAGCUAGUACCGGUCGUACCAUGCGAUACGCAAGAAAAUGAGGAGUCAUUUAUUGGUAGCAUCAUUCCAAAGGAUGUCACCAUCCUCACACCUAUUGAUAUCAAUGCAAGGGGCACAUGCUCUAGAAUAAAGGGGCACAGGGAUGGUGUGAGGGGUGGAUCUGGUGACAAGAAAAGAAGGCCAGGAAUUCAUCAAAAAGUCGCACGCAAAUGUAGCAUUUGUAAGAAAGUGGUAUUCCAUGAUGCAAGGACAUGCUCUAUGAAAAAUAUUACACAAGAGUAGAGGUUUGUGAUUCUUCUUUCUUCUAAGAGAACCACUUUUUUGUCUUACUAUAAUGUAUGACAUGAAAUUAUUUGUUAACACUAUUAAUCCACAUCUAAAAAAUAGUCAUAGGACUCCAUCUUAAAAAUUCAAACCCAUUUCUUUCUCCUUACUGUUUAUGCUUUGUUAUGUAGAUGUAGGAAACUAUCAUGUUGUUGUCUACAUUGGAGUAAGAGUGAAAUGGGACCUCAUCAAACAUAGCACUCUUCAUCGAACAUCUCUAGUUGUAUAUGAUUUCACUGCCAUUUUGCUCUAGGCUCACAUAAUUUCCUGCAAUAUGAGAUCCCCGCCCUAAAUUCUAUGAGCAGUCAACACAACCAGACCUUGAACAACCACAAAAUUAUUCUAAAAUGAAAUGUGGCUGCAUGCUAGUUAACAUGUGGUCAUGGUUGGCAAUGUCCAAUUCAGGAAGCAGUUUAUAUGGUCUCUGUUUUAUGAAGAAAUAUUAUAUGAAAAUAUGGGUAUUUUCCCCUUUUGACCCUUACAGAAAUGAAUCGCCCAUAAAUACAUAUAAUGUUUGUUCUAGAUUUUUUUUGAACAGGUUUGUUCUAGAUAGUAACAAUACCCAAACGAUUUAGCUGGUUAUAUUGCAUUACAAUCAUCUUUCCACUAACGUAUUCGAGAAAACGCUGUAGGAGAUUUCAUCUCCCCUGUGGAAAUAAUACCUGAUCAAAUAUUUUAAGUAUGGAUGUGUGAGACUGUCUUGUGCUCAAACUGAUUCAGAUUUUGUUUGGUGUCAUCUUUCCAGCACAUCAACCUCCAUGAGCAAGAAGUACCAACUCCAAAGAUGCUCAUGUCCAUGCUGCCAGAUUACGACGAGAGAGCAAGUCUUGCUUGCUGCCAAACCCGCUAUAACUGAGUGGUCUAUCCACUAUGCUUUGCACUGAGUUUGUAUCAGACUUGUAGACCAUGGACCAGUCCUCGCUGAGAAUUGAUGAGAAUUAUGUAGUUCUGUAUAUGGUACUGUAGUUGUUAACCUGUUGUAUGCAUGUUCCUACUUAUUAGUUCUGCCUGUUUCGCUUCCUGUGUUCGUGCAUAUAAGAGCUAUUGUGUUUGGAUGAUAGAUUUUUCUACUUGAGUCACUUCUGUUCAUUUGAUUACCGAUUUAUGUGUGGCAUGGUCCAGCUUGACAUAUAUUUGAAUGAGAUGACUUCAAUUUUAUUUGUAUGCAAA